rnacentral:rRNA from 1 species
CCUACGGGAGGCAGCAGUGAGGAAUAUUGGUCAAUGGACGAGAGUCUGAACCAGCCAAGUAGCGUGAAGGAUUACUGCCCUAUGGGUUGUAAACUUCUUUUAUGUGGGAAUAAAAUGUACCGAGGGUGGGACUUUGUAUGUACCCUGUGAAUAAUGUGCGGCCAACUGCGGUCCAACAGACGCGGGAAUACGGAGGAUCCGAGCGUUAUCCGGAUUUGUGGGGUUUAAGGUGCGUGUAGGUGGAUUGUUAAGUCAGGUGUGAAAGGUUGGGGCGCAACCGUAAGAUGGCAGUUGAAACUGGCAGUCUUGAGCACAGUAGAGGUGAGCGGAAUUCGCGGUGUAGCGGUGAAAUGCUUAGAUAUCACGAAGAAC